rnacentral:lncRNA from 1 species
AUCAAUUUAGUACUGAUUCAAUUAUUGACGAGUUCAAGUCUAAAAAAGACCGAACCGUUAAAUUUUAAAUUGAGGUAAAUGUCUCCUAUGUUUAUAUAUAUGUAGCAGUCUGGUGCGAUUGUUUUUCUAUUCUGCACGUGGCAAGCAUAUGACUGGUUUUGAUCCUCUAAGUUUAGGAUAGGUUAUCUCUCUAGUUGGUAUAUAGUAUAUUUGGAGCUUUAGUCUCGUGUUUGAGCUAUUGCGGUGAUAUUUUUUGGAUGAAAUUGUAUAUAACUUUUAUGAAUUUCAAUUAUAAUAUUUAGUUCAU